UUUUAGAUGUUGUUGAAAAAAGUACUUCAGUUAUUUUGGAAUUUUUAUGACUAAAAUAUAUCAAAUUUAUCUUUAAACCAAUCUUUAAUACUCUCUAAAAUAUUUAAGGAUGUCCUUUUCUCAACAGCAACUCUUAACAAAAAUGACAAACAGAUACCAAGUCAACUACCAUGUCACGACCCAUGAGACUAUUCAUUUUUGGCAACAAAACCUGAAGCAUUUAUAAGCUAUUUGACUGUGGAUCAUAACAAAUAUUUCAACAUCUUAUUCCCUACUACUGGACUGGCAAUAAUUUAUAGGUGACAAACGUCACAUGCUAAUUUGAUGUUUAG
rnacentral:misc_RNA from 1 species